CCUAUGUGAGAGAUUGAUGAUUUUUUAUUGAAGGGAGAGACUGAAAAUGAAGGAUAAGAAAUGUUUCUAAAUAAAAAGAUUUGGGUAUAAUUUGGGAUUUUAUAAAUUGUGUUAGUACAAAAUUGGAAAAUAAAAAUUUUAAACCAUUUAAAACUAUCGAUUUGGUAGUUUGAAAAUCUGUGGUAAAAUUAUGGUUAAGGAACCAUCACUUUACAACCCAAAAUCAACAUUCUCUAGAAAUAAUAUUUACAAACAAACAGUAUUACUAUACCAUGUGUUAUGAAAUCAUGGGAAAUCAUAAUCCAAACAAGGUGUUAGUAGAUCGUGAGUGGGUCUAUCGUCCUCCUCAUUAUAGUCCUUCUAAAAUCAAUAACAUUUCGUCGAAAUAUAUCCUCUCUUUGCACCCUAGCAGUCCUAUGCAUAGUAAGUAGUGUAGCCCACUACUAAUAUUAAGUAAUAAAAUAAAAAUAAAGAAAAAGGUGAUGUCAAUCUAUUAUUCCUUGCAUCAUAGGAAAGGCAAAGCGCUUUCUUUUAAGAAUGCAUUGACCUUUAACCUUUGUUUGGAUUGAGGUAGAUGGAGAGAAGAAAAAAGGAAAGAAAUUGGAUUUCUCCGAUUUCUCUUGUUUGGACAAUAAGUAGUGAAGCAGUGAAGAGAAAGGAGGAGGAUAAAGAAGGAGAUACAAAUAUUUCUCUCUAACUACUCAACUCAACUCAACUCAA
rnacentral:misc_RNA from 1 species